UGGUCCUACGGGGGGCAGCAGUGGGGAAUAUUGCACAAUGGGGGAAACCCUGAUGCAGCGACGCCGCGUGAGCGAAGAAGUAUUUCGGCAUGUAAAGCUCUAUCAGCAGGGAAGAAAAAUGACGGUACCUGAGUAAGAAGCACCGGCUAAAUACGUGCCAGCAGCCGCGGUAAUACGUAUGGUGCAAGCGUUAUCCGGAUUUACUGGGUGUAAAGGGUGCGCAGGCGGUCUGUUAAGUCAGCGGUCAAAGCCCGGGGCUCAACUCUGUGGAUUGCUUUUGGAACUAUCAAGCUAGAGUGCUGGAG
rnacentral:rRNA from 1 species